UGGGGAAUAUUGCACAAUGGGCGCAAGCCUGAUGCAGCCAUGCCGCGUGUGUGAAGAAGGCCUUCGGGUUGUAAAGCACUUUCAGCGAGGAGGAAGGUGGUGAACUUAAUACGUUCAUCAAUUGACGUUACUCGCAGAAGAAGCACCGGCUAACUCCGUGCCAGCAGCCGCGGUAAUACGGAGGGUGCAAGCGUUAAUCGGAAUUACUGGGCGUAAAGCGCACGCAGGCGGUUUGUUAAGUCAGAUGUGAAAUCCCCGGGGCUCAACCUGGGAACUGCAUUUGAAACUGGCAAGCUAGAGUCUCGUAGAGGGGGGUAGAAUUCCAGGUGUAGCGGUGAAAUGCGUAGAGAUCUGGAGGAAUACCGGUGGCGAAGGCGGCCCCCUGGACGAAGACUGACGCUCAGGUGCGAAAGCGUGGGGAGCAAACAGAUUAGAUACCCUGGUAGUCCACGCUGUAAACGAUGUCGAUUUUGGAGGUUGUG
rnacentral:rRNA from 1 species